AUUGAACGCUAGCGGCAGGCCUAACACAUGCAAGUCGAGCGAGCGGCGGAAGGGUGAGGAAUGUGUGGGGACUGCCCGCUCGAGGUGGAUCACUCCUGGAAACGGUCGCUAAUACCGCAUCCUCUCGGAUAACACAUAUGGGAUUAGCUAGUAGGUGAGGUAAUGGCUCACCUAGGCGACGAUCCCUAGCGGGUCUGAUAGGAUGAUCCGCCACACUGGGACUGAGACACGGCCCAGACUCCUACGGAGGCAGCAGUGGGGAAUAUUGCACAAUGGGCGCAAGCCUGAUGCAGCCAUGCCGCGUGUAUGAAGAAGGCCCUAGGGUUGUAAAGUACUUUCAGUCGGGAGGCGUUACCGACAGAAGAAGCACCGGCUAACUCCGUGCCAGCAGCCGCGGUAAUAC
rnacentral:rRNA from 1 species